CCCUCCCCUAAAUCACUCCAAAAAAACAAUCCCCAAUUCUACACAAGUGUUUCUACACUAACAAAGCAACAGCUCCUUAACGAAUUCCCAACUUUACACGAGCUCGUCUCUCGAGGUUAAAUGUUAUUACUUGGUAAGAUUCCGGACCUCGCCAAGUGUUUUGAAAACCCGCAACGCUCGCAAAGGUGCAUAGUGAGAAUAAUAAGUGAAGAGACAGACUUGUCCAAAACGCCCACCACGAAGGUGCAUAGUGAGAAGAGUAAGUCAAGAGAUAGACUUGUCCAAAAAGAAACGGAAGAGAAAGCUUGGGGAGACGCUCACGAAGGUGCAUAGUGAGAAGAGUAAGUCAAGAGAUAGACUUGUUCAAAAAGAAACAGAAGAGAAUGCUUGGGGUUACACUCACGAAGGUGCAUAGUGAGAAGAGUAAGUCAAGAGACAGACUUGUUCAAAAAGAAACGAAAGAGAAUGCUUGGGGAGAUAGAAGUGUGAGAUAGUUCUCAAGCUAAGAAAGUUGUAAAAGCUAAGAACUAGCAAGUAAUCGUCCAGGAUUCCUCCACCAGGACUUGAAAUCGUCGAGGGAAAAAAAUCGGUUCCGAGGAAUCGUCGAUCCGGACUUGGAAUCGUCGAGAAAAGUUUACCGGGUCCGAGGAUUUGUCGACCAGGAGUGGAAAUCGUCGAGAAAAAUCUAUCGGGUCCGAGGAAUCGUCGACCAGGACGAGGAAUCGUCGACCGGGUCCGAGGAUUUGUCGACCAGGGGUUGAAAUCGUCGACCAGGUCCGAGACUUCAUCGACCGGGUCCGAGGAUUCGUCGAC
rnacentral:misc_RNA from 1 species